UCCAGUUAAAAAUAAUUUUAUAAUUUGUGGACAAAGACUUACAGACAAGUGCAAAAGUAAGUCCUCUUUUGCAACCCACAACUCAUUGUUCAGUAUGAGUUUUGAUACAGAUAAGAAGGAACAUG
rnacentral:snoRNA from 1 species